rnacentral:rRNA from 1 species
GAUGAACGCUAGCGGCACGGACCUAACACAUGCAAGUCGGAGGGCAUCAGUGGCGUAGCAAUACGCUGAGUGGCGACCGGCGCGACGGGUGCGUAACGCGUAUCGGAACCUACCCACCGCGAGGGGACUAACCCGCCGAAAGGCGGACUAAUACCCCAUGGUUCCCCGACCCUGCCUGGGGUUGGGGGUAAAGCCUACGGGCGGCGGUGGAUGGCCCUGCGUGCCAUUAGCUGGCUGGUGGGGUAACGGCCCACCAGGGCGACGAUGGCUAGGGGGUCUGAGAGGACGAUCCCCCACACUGGUACUGAGACACGGACCAGACCCCUACGGGAGGCAGCAGUGAGGAAUAUUGGACAAUGGAUGGAAAUCUGAUCCAGCCAUGCCGCGUGCAGGAAGACAGCCCUAUGGGUUGUAAACUGCUUUUAUAUGGGAGCAAUAAGGUCUACGUGUAGACUGAUGAGAGUACCAUAUGAAUAAGCAUCGGCUAACUCCGUG